UACAGUUGUUUAUUAGUUUACUCGUUUGUUUUGCGACUGAUGAAAUGCCGGCAUAUAUAUAUAUUCAACAUCUGACAUAACCCUGUAUGUUUUGCAGGGACAACCCAGGACGUGCAUUUCUCAGCACCCAGUCAACUGCCAAAAGUGACUCAAACACAGGCCACCAGUGGAACUCGGCUGUACCACUGCAGUGCUGCGGAAAUUGCCUUCACCAGCGGCUUUGCAACAGCUGUUUCGCAGCAUGUCGGAGACAAUGCCUACGAAAUUAUUGGCCCUGAUCAUGAGAGCCCUCAAGGGGCAAACAACAUCUCUGUUGCAGAAGUGAGCCCGGUACCACUUGGAAGUUACCAUGACAGAUGACACGGCAGCAAUAGAUACAGAGACUGCCACGUCUACUGCAGCUGCAACAGUGUACGAGGCAAGCAGCAGCGCGUCAGCAGCAGUGUCAGAAGGAACCACACCAGGCCUGGUAGAGCAACAUGUGUGCUAUCACUGACUUUUUUUGUAGUGGAUACAACUCAUUUGCUCAACAUACAAAAGCUUUUCACCACGACUGUGAGCCAGUGUUAUUGUGCAGCAAGUGCAAGACUAAGUUAAGUGUUAUAACACAGUACAAGCAUCACUUUAACAUAU
rnacentral:lncRNA from 1 species